CCUACGGGCGGCUGCAGUGGGGAAUAUUGGGCAAUGGGGGCAACCCUGAUCCAGCCAUGCCGCGUGUGUGAAGAAGGCCCUCGGGUUGUAAAGCACUUUCAGGGAGGAAGAACGCCUGGUGGUUAAUACCCAUCAGGAAAGACAUCACUCACAGAAGAAGCACCGGCUAACUCCGUGCCAGCAGCCGCGGUAAUACGGAGGGUGCGAGCGUUAAUCGGAAUUACUGGGCGUAAAGCGCGCGUAGGUGGCUUGAUAAGCCGGUUGUGAAAGCCCCGGGCUCAACCUGGGAACGGCAUCCGGAACUGUCAAGCUAGAGUGCAGGAGAGGAAGGUAGAAUUCCCGGUGUAGCGGUGAAAUGCGUAGAGAUCGGGAGGAAUACCAGUGGCGAAGGCGGCCUUCUGGACUGACACUGACACUGAGGUGCGAAAGCGUGGGUAGCAAACAGGAUUAGAUACCCCGGUAGUC
rnacentral:rRNA from 1 species